rnacentral:rRNA from 1 species
CCUACGGGAGGCAGCAGUCGGGAAUAUUGCGCAAUGGGCGAAAGCCUGACGCAGCCAUGCCGCGUGUGUGAAGAAGGCCCUAGAGUUGUAAAGCACUUUCAAUUGUGAGGAAAGGUUGACGAUUAAUACUCGUCGGCUGUGACGUUAACUUUAGAAGAAGCACCGGCUAACUCCGUGCCAGCAGCCGCGGUAAUACGGAGGGUGCAAGCGUUAAUCGGAAUUACUGGGCGUAAAGCGCGCGUAGGCGGUUUUUUAAGUCGGAUGUGAAAGCCCCGGGCUCAACCUGGGAACUGCAUCCGAUACUGGAAGACUAGAGUGCGGGAGAGGGAGGUAGAAUUCCAUGUGUAGCAGUGAAAUGCGUAGAUAUGUGGAGGAAUACCAGUGGCGAAGGCGGCCUCCUGGCUCGACACUGACGCUGAGGUGCGAAAGCGUGGGGAGCAAACGGGAUUAGAUACCCCGGUAGUCCACGCCGUAAACGAUGUCUACUAGCUGUAGGGGUACUUGAGACCUUUGUAGCGCAGCUAACGCACUAAGUAGACCGCCUGGGGAGUACGGCCGCAAG